GGAGGGGUGGCCGAGUGGUCGAAGGCGCACGCCUGGAAAGUGUGUAUACGGCAAAACCGUAUCGAGGGUUCGAAUCCCUCCCGCUCCGCCA
rnacentral:tRNA from 1 species